GUAGUGCUUACAUAAUUUUCGGAA
rnacentral:siRNA from 1 species